AUGGAGACACUUCGGCCGGCUGGUCUGCUAAAGCCCUUGGAGGUGUCGUCUCAGGUCUGGGCGGAUAUCUCCAUGGACUUCAUCGAGGGCCUCCCCAAGGUGGGCGGCAAGUCCGUCAUCCUCACGGUGGUCGACCGCUUCUCCAAGUAUGCUCACUUCAUCGCACUCGGCCAUCCCUACACUGCCGCGUCCGUGGCCCGUGCUUUCUUCGACGACAUCGUCCGCCUCCAUGGAUUUCCCGCUUCGAUCAUCAGCGAUCGGGACCUGGUGUUCACGGGGCAUGUCUGGCGCGAUCUCUUCCGGUUGGCGGGCAUGAAGCUCCGCCUGAGCACGGCCUUCCAUCCUCAGACGGACGGCCAAUCCAAGGUCGUCAACAAGGUGAUUGCCAUGUACUUGCGUUGUGUCACAGGUGAUCGUCCUCGCGCUUGGGUGGAUUGGCUCGCGUGGGCGGAGUACUGCUACAACACCUCCUAUCACUCCGCCCUGCGCGCCACGCCGUUUGAGGUGGUCUACGACCACCCCCCUCCGCCCAUCCUGCCGGUUGACCCGGCGACGGCUCGGACGGAGGCGGCGGGAGAUGUUCUUCGUAGCCGCGACGAGAUGCUUGCAAAGGUCCGGCAGCGCCUCAUUCAGGCCCAGCAGCUGGCCAAGCACUACUACGACGGCCACCAUCGCGAGGCGGAGUUCGUGGUGGGCGAUUGGGUGUGGCUGCGUAUUCUUCACCGCUCUACGCAGUCCCUGGACCCAAGCGCGAAGCGCAAGCUGGGCCCUCGCUACGCCGGGCCCUUUGCCAUCUUGAAGCGCAUCGUUAAGGUGGCCUACUGCCUUCAGCUUCCGACCGGUGCUUGCAUCCACGACGUCUUCAUGUGA
rnacentral:rRNA from 1 species